GGUCCAGAUGAUAUACCGUAUGAGCUCUACAAGAAUGGUGGUACAGAGGAGCUAACAGCCAGGAUGAGAAGAAUGAAUGUAGGGGCAAGUGUGGGGAAUGAUAAAGUGUGUGUGUUCCUUUAUGCAGAUGAAGUAGUCGUUAUGAGUGAAUCGGCAGAUGAGCUUUAAAGCUUGUUGGAUGUUGUGGAUGGGUAUGGAAAAGACUUUGGAGUAAGGUUUAACAGCGAGAAAAGCAAUGUAAUGACUGUGAAUAGGUCAGAGGAUGAAAGUAAUGUGGUAUGGAGACUUGGAGAGAAUGAGUUGAAGCGGAUGCAGGAUUACAAGUACUUAGGGAUGUGGAUGAGUCCCAGUGGGUGUGCAAAGGCAAAGAAUGAAAAGAUAAGUAUGGUAAACCAGUGGGUAGGUCGAUUGGGAAGAGCGGCAAGGAUGAGAGCAAGUAAGUAUGAUGUGUUGAGAGAAGUGUGGAAGAGUGUGGCUGUGCCAAGUAUAAUGUAUGCUAUGGAUGUGAUUGCAUGGAAGGAAAGUGAAAUUGAUAAGUUAGAAGUGGGCCAGAAUAGAGUAGCAAGGAUGGCACUGAUUGCACCGAGGUGCACAGCAGUUGAAGCCUUGAGAGGUGACAUGGGAUGGAGCACCUUUAGGGAAAGACUCACAAAAGCCACACUUAGGUACAAGAUUAGGCUUGAGAGAAUGGAUGAUGCAAGAAUAGCAAGGAAGGUGUACCUGUGGAAUGAAAGUGGAAGCAAAUGGAGGAAGAGGUGCAUGAGAAUGACAGACAGGAAUGGAUUGCAAGUUGUGUGGGCGAUAAAAAUGGCUGGGAGGAAUGAAAAUAAGCGUGAAUGGGUGGUAAUAAGAGGAGGCAGAGUGGGAGCUGAAUGGGAUGUGAGAAAAUGGAAGAGUGAGAUAGACAAAGAAGUGAAGUGUGUGGGACUCAAUGAAUGGAAGAAUUAGAUGGAAAGAAAGAAGACCCUGGAAUGGUAUUCCGAGCGAGGGCACAGUGUAUGGAUGUGAAUGCAAGGAGUUACAGGUGGUCUGAGUCCCACAGCAAAGUGUGCCAGAUGUGUGACAUGGGAGAGGAUGAGACGGUGGAACAUGUGGUGCUGGAGUGCGUGAAGUAUGCCAGAGACAGGAAUGAGAUGAUGCAAGUGAUAUUGACUGAGUUAGAGCAUGAUAGGAAUGAAAGAGUGGAGAAGACAGGAAAAGAGUGGAUGGUGUUGUUGCUGGGACUGUGUAGAGAGGCCAAUGAAAGGAUGAUUAAGGCGGUGAAAGAGUUUCUGGAGAGAAUGUGGCGUGCCAGGUGUAUGAACAAUUAGGAUAGAGGAUGCUGUUCGUUUCUCUUUUUUUUCCCCCUUCUACAGGAGUUGCCGAUCCAAAGGCCUGGCCUCGGAGUGAUCCUGAGCCACCUGUACCAUCAAGAUCAAGAUCAAGACUAACAAUUUCAAAGAAUUCCUGCUCUGUGUGUGUGUGUGUGUGUGUGAGAGAGAGAGAGGAGAGAGACAAGAAUGGUCUCAAAAACCUACAUUUAUUUCCUAAGGAUGCCAAGAGACGGUUCCGGUGGGUGAAAAGCCUGAAUGUAGCACGCCAGAAACACACCCAGGUGGUCUGUGAUGACCGUUUCCUCCUUGUUUCCUUGGGAGCAAGGGUCGUCUUCUCAGUAAUGCCGUCCCCGUGUCAUUUUCAGUGCAUUGGAAUUUGCUGAGAUGGCAGUCCUUGAGGUGGCAGUCCUGUACACGACAGCCACGGUGGUCACAGCAGUGGGACACUUGAAGGUGCAUAGAUGGCAGUCCUUGAGGUGGCAGUCCUGUACACGACAGCCACGGUGGUCACGGCAGUGGGACACUUGAAGGUGCAUAGGUAGCAGUCCUUGAGGUGGCAGUUCUGUACAGGACAGCCAUGGUGGUCACGGCAGUGGGACACUUGAAGGUGCA